GUGGGCGUCUUCUAAUGGUUAGGAAACCUCGUUGUGGUCAAACAACUCCGUGGAAAUAUCGGUUCGAUUCCGGUCGCCCACA
rnacentral:tRNA from 1 species